rnacentral:rRNA from 1 species
GACGAACGCUGGCGGCGUGCUUAACACAUGCAAGUCGAACGGAAAGGCCCCUUUGGGGGUACUCGAGUGGCGAACGGGUGAGUAACACGUGAGUAACCUGCCCUUGACUUCGGGAUAACUUCAGGAAACUGGGGCUAAUACCGGAUAGGAAUCCUUGCUGCAUGGUGGGGGUUGGAAAGCUUCGGCGGUUUUGGAUGGACUCGCGGCUUAUCAGCUUGUUGGUGGGGUAGUGGCUUACCAAGGCUUUGACGGGUAGCCGGCCUGAGAGGGCGACCGGCCACAUUGGGACUGAGAUACGGCCCAGACUCCUACGGGAGGCAGCAGGGGGGAAGAUUGCACAAGGGGCGGAAGCCUGAUGCAGCAACGCCGCGGGCGGGAUGACGGCCUUCGGGUUGUAAACCGCUUUCAGCAGGGGCGAAGCUUGUGGUGACGGUACCUGCAGAAGAAGCACCGGCUAACUACGUG